rnacentral:rRNA from 1 species
GACGAACGCUGGCGGCGUGCCUAAUACAUGCAAGUCGAGCGAACCAAUAGAAAAGCUUGCUUUUCUUGAGGUUAGCGGCGGACGGGUGAGUAACACGUGGGCAACUUGCCUGUAAGACUGGGAUAACUUACGGAAACGUGAGCUAAUACCGGAUAGUUUCACUUCUCGCAUGAGAAGUGAAGGAAAGAUGGCGUCACGCUAUCACUUACAGAUGGGCCCGCGGCGCAUUAGCUAGUUGGUGGGGUAAUGGCCUACCAAGGCGACGAUGCGUAGCCGACCUGAGAGGGUGAUCGGCCACACUGGGACUGAGACACGGCCCAGACUCCUACGGGAGGCAGCAGUAGGGAAUCUUCCGCAAUGGACGAAAGUCUGACGGAGCAACGCCGCGUGAGCGAUGAAGGUCUUCGGAUCGUAAAGCUCUGUUGUUAGGGAAGAACAAGUACCGGAGUAACUGUCGGUACCUUGACGGUACCUAACCAGAAAGCCACGGCUAACUAC